UAUCUCUCCGUACGGGGAAGGAUGAGAAGCUUCGACUAAGGUUCGAUUCGAGCGAAAGCGAGAAAGCGUUGCCGUAGGCAACGACCCGAAGGGCGAAGCGCGCAGCGCUGAGUCAUCCUACCCCCACCACCA
rnacentral:sRNA from 17 species